GAGCUCGUAGCCUAGCCAGGCGAGGCGCGGGGCUUUUAACCCCGUCCAACACGGGUUCAAAUCCCGUCGAGCUCUCCA
rnacentral:tRNA from 1 species